AUUGAACGCUGGCGGCAGGCCUAACACAUGCAAGUCGAGCGGAUGAAGGGAGCUUGCUCCUGGAUUCAGCGGCGGACGGGUGAGUAAUGCCUAGGAAUCUGCCUGGUUGUGGGGGAUAACGUCCGGAAACGGGCGCUAAUACCGCAUAAGUCCUGAGGGAGAAAGUGGGGGAUCUUCGGACCUCACGCUAUCAGAUGAGCCUAGGUCGGAUUAGCUAGUUGGUGGGGUAAAGGCCUACCAAGGCGACGAUCCGUAACUGGUCUGAGAGGAUGAUCAGUCACACUGGAACUGAGACACGGUCCAGACUCCUACGGGAGGCAGCAGUGGGGAAUAUUGGACAAUGGGCGAAAGCCUGAUCCAGCCAUGCCGCGUGUGUGAAGAAGGUCUUCGGAUUGUAAAGCACUUUAAGUUGGGAGGAAGGGCAGUAAGUUAAUACCUUGCUGUUUUGACGUUACCAACAGAAUAAGCACCGGCUAACUUCGUG
rnacentral:rRNA from 1 species